UAGGCACUUGUAUGUGUUGUGUUUGUGCA
rnacentral:piRNA from 1 species